rnacentral:sRNA from 1 species
AGCAAUAGAAUAGGAAACUCAUGGGUGGUCAGCUCAUCCCCAAAAGAAAGGGGGUGGUGCUGUGACGGUAUUCGAAGCAUUAAUGUUUGCAUGUACGUUUGCAAGCUUCAUCAUUGCAAUCCUGUCCUUUAACCAAAGAAAAUAAUCCACCCUUGAGCUUGGCAGCCUGGUGGAUUAUUCCCAUUUUUUAAGGUGUCCCCCUUGCAGGGAACUUUCUAUUGCACUGACCGUUGGUGUUACAGCACCAGCG